UUUCUCAAUUCAACAACAGCAAUAUAUCUCGUGUAACCCCACAAAUAGGGUCUGGGGAGGGUAGUAUGUAGACAGCAUUAUCCCUACUUCGAGAAGAUAGAGAGGUUGUUUAUGAUAGAUGUCGACUAGUUCAUCAAUUCAACAACAUAUCCAGUGUAAUCUCACAAGGGUAGUGUGUCCGCAACUUUAUCCCUAGAGGUUGUUUCUCAUAGAACCUCGGCUAGUUUCUCACUCAACUAAUUUCUCAAUUCAACAACAACAAUAACCACAUAUCCAGUGUAAUCCCACAGAGGAGGUUAGUGUCUACAAAGCGUUAUUCCUACCUUGAGAAGGUAAAGAGGUUGUCUCCAAUAGACCCUCGGCUACUUCCUCAAUUCAAUCCUAAUAAUUCACUCCUCUAAUUCACAUGUAUUCAUUUUUCACAUAAAAUUUCAAAUCUUUGAAUAAUAAAACAAUUAACAAUAUAAUUAAUAUACCAGUGACUUUAUAGUUGGCAGAGUUUUGAUCACUCUCAUCUAUGGACUUUUUCUCAAUUGGUACAGCUGCAUCACAAUUCACAUCUGGUAGAUCAAGAGCUGGCACUGGCGUUGCUAAACAAGAACAAACACCAAACAAUAACCAAGCUGAAUCAGGAUUAUGCAACCACCUCGCAGGUCUAGAAUCCCACGCAACAUUCCAAGACCCUUCACCU
rnacentral:lncRNA from 1 species